CGCCCGAGCGGAGCUCGUCGCUGCCGUCCACUGCCGCCUCACCCACAGAGCCUCCCUCACAAAGCUAGCGUGCCCAUCGGCUCCGCCUCAUCACCACACGUCGACAAGCCAACGACUAUGACCUCGGGAGCCCCUCAUCGCCGGCAUCUUCGUCGUCUUCAAGCUUCGGCACCGAUGACCGCCGCCGUCGAUUUGCUUGCUCCAGCUCCUCCCCGACCCCGCCGUGCUUCUCCACCGAACCGUUAGAGACGUCAGUCUCGCUAGUAGUUCCACAUGGACUUCGACGUUUAGCUUGUUACCUCAGCUACGAUUUUGUACCCUUGGGAGGGUCUUGGAGAUAGUCAGGCUUCUCAGCCUUUUUCAUCUGUAGUUGUGUGUACUCAGACAUUAUUAUGCUUCCGCUCGAUGCAUGUAUGCUCUGUAUGUUGGGUCAUGAGACCAUGAUUGUAAUACUUGGCUUCUCGGAGCCUAAUGAAUAAAUACUUGAGUCGUA